UACAGAGGGUGCGAGCGUUAAUCGGAAUUACUGGGCGUAAAGCGUGCGUAGACGGUUGCAUAAGUCGGAUGUGAAAUCCCCGGGCUCAACCUGGGAAUUGCAUUCGAGACUGCGUAGCUGGGGUGCGGAAGAGGGAAGCGGAAUUUCCGGUGUAGCGGUGAAAUGCGUAGAUAUCGGAAGGAACACCUGUGGCGAAAGCGGCUCACUGGACCAUUACUGACGCUGAUGCACGAAAGCUAGGGGAGCAAACAGG
rnacentral:rRNA from 1 species